GGGUUGUGAGGUUAAGCGACUAAGCGUACACGGUGGAUGCCCUGGCAGUCAGAGGCGAUGAAGGACGUGCUAAUCUGCGAAAAGCGUCGGUAAGGUGAUAUGAACCGUUACAGCCGGCGAUGUCCGAAUGGGGAAACCCAGUGCAAUUCGUUGCACUAUCGUUAACUGAAUACAUAGGUUAACGAGGCGAACCGGGGGAACUGAAACAUCUAAGUACCCCGAGGAAAAGAAAUCAACCGAGAUUCCCCCAGUAGCGGCGAGCGAACGGGGAGCAGCCCAGAGUCUGAAUCAGCUUGUGUGUUAGUGGAACGGUCUGGAAAGUCCGACGGUACAGGGUGAUAGUCCCGUACACCAAAAUGCACAGGCUGUGAACUCGAAGAGUAGGGCGGGACACGUGGUAUCCUGUCUGAAUAUGGGGGGACCAUCCUCCAAGGCUAAAUACUCCUGACUGACCGAUAGUGAACCAGUACCGUGAGGGAAAGGCGAAAAGAACCCCGGCGAGGGGAGUGAAAAAGAACCUGAAACCGUGUACGUACAAGCAGUGGGAGCACCUUCGGGUGUGACUGCGUACCUUUUGUAUAAUGGGUCAGCGACUUAUAUUCUGUAGCAAGGUUAACCGUAUAGGGGAGCCGCAGGGAAACCGAGUCUUAACUGGGCGUUAAGUUGCAGGGUAUAGACCCGAAACCCGGUGAUCUAGCCAUGGGCAGGUUGAAGGUUGGGUAACACUAACUGGAGGACCGAACCGACUAAUGUUGAAAAAUUAGCGGAUGACUUGUGGCUGGGGGUGAAAGGCCAAUCAAACCGGGAGAUAGCUGGUUCUCCCCGAAAGCUAUUUAGGUAGCGCCUCGUGAAUUCAUCUUCGGGGGUAGAGCACUGUUUCGGCUAGGGGGUCAUCCCGACUUACCAACCCGAUGCAAACUACGAAUACCGAAGAAUGUUAUCACGGGAGACACACGGCGGGUGCUAACGUCCGUCGUGAAGAGGGAAACAACCCAGACCGCCAGCUAAGGUCCCAAAGUCAUGGUUAAGUGGGAAACGAUGUGGGAAGGCACAGACAGCCAGGAUGUUGGCUUAGAAGCAGCCAUCAUUUAAAGAAAGCGUAAUAGCUCACUGGUCGAGUCGGCCUGCGCGGAAGAUGUAACGGGGCUAAACCAUGCACCGAAGCUGCGGCAGCGACACGAUGUGUUGUUGGGUAGGGGAGCGUUCUGUAAGCCUGCGAAGGUGACCUGUGAGGGUUGCUGGAGGUAUCAGAAGUGCGAAUGCUGACAUAAGUAACGAUAAAGCGGGUGAAAAGCCCGCUCGCCGGAAGACCAAGGGUUCCUGUCCAACGUUAAUCGGGGCAGGGUGAGUCGACCCCUAAGGCGAGGCCGAAAGGCGUAGUCGAUGGGAAACAGGUUAAUAUUCCUGUACUUGGUGUUACUGCGAAGGGGGGACGGAGAAGGCUAUGUUAGCCGGGCGACGGUUGUCCCGGUUUAAGCAUGUAGGCUGGUUGUCCAGGCAAAUCCGGAUAAUCAAGGCUGAGGUGUGAUGACGAGGCACUACGGUGCUGAAGUAACAAAUGCCCUGCUUCCAGGAAAAGCCUCUAAGCAUCAGGUAACAUUAAAUCGUACCCCAAACCGACACAGGUGGUCAGGUAGAGAAUACCAAGGCGCUUGAGAGAACUCGGGUGAAGGAACUAGGCAAAAUGGUGCCGUAACUUCGGGAGAAGGCACGCUGGUGUGUAGGUGAAGUCCCUGCGGAUGGAGCUGAGACCAGUCGAAGAUACCAGCUGGCUGCAACUGUUUAUUAAAAACACAGCACUGUGCAAACACGAAAGUGGACGUAUACGGUGUGACGCCUGCCCGGUGCCGGAAGGUUAAUUGAUGGGGUUAUCCGUAAGGAGAAGCUCUUGAUCGAAGCCCCGGUAAACGGCGGCCGUAACUAUAACGGUCCUAAGGUAGCGAAAUUCCUUGUCGGGUAAGUUCCGACCUGCACGAAUGGCGUAAUGAUGGCCAGGCUGUCUCCACCCGAGACUCAGUGAAAUUGAACUCGCUGUGAAGAUGCAGUGUACCCGCGGCAAGACGGAAAGACCCCGUGAACCUUUACUAUAGCUUGACACUGAACAUUGAGCCUUGAUGUGUAGGAUAGGUGGGAGGCUUUGAAGCGUGGACGCCAGUCUGCGUGGAGCCAACCUUGAAAUACCACCCUUUAAUGUUUGAUGUUCUAACGUUGGCCCCUGACCGGGGUUGCGGACAGUGUCUGGUGGGUAGUUUGACUGGGGCGGUCUCCUCCCAAAGCGUAACGGAGGAGCACGAAGGUUAGCUAAUCCUGGUCGGACAUCAGGAGGUUAGUGCAAUGGCAUAAGCUAGCUUGACUGCGAGCGUGACGGCGCGAGCAGGUGCGAAAGCAGGUCAUAGUGAUCCGGUGGUUCUGAAUGGAAGGGCCAUCGCUCAACGGAUAAAAGGUACUCCGGGGAUAACAGGCUGAUACCGCCCAAGAGUUCAUAUCGACGGCGGUGUUUGGCACCUCGAUGUCGGCUCAUCACAUCCUGGGGCUGAAGUAGGUCCCAAGGGUAUGGCUGUUCGCCAUUUAAAGUGGUACGCGAGCUGGGUUUAGAACGUCGUGAGACAGUUCGGUCCCUAUCUGCCGUGGGCGCUGGAGAAUUGAGGGGGGCUGCUCCUAGUACGAGAGGACCGGAGUGGACGCAUCACUGGUGUUCGGGUUGUCAUGCCAAUGGCACUGCCCGGUAGCUAAAUGCGGAAGAGAUAAGUGCUGAAAGCAUCUAAGCACGAAACUUGCCCCGAGAUGAGUUCUCCCUGAGACUUUAAGUCUCCUGAAGGAACGUUGAAGACGACGACGUUGAUAGGCCGGGUGUGUAAGCGCAGCGAUGCGUUGAGCUAACCGGUACUAAUGAACCGUGAGGCUUAACCUUACAACGCCGAAG
rnacentral:rRNA from 1 species